UGAGGAAUAUUGGUCAAUGGGCGGAAGCCUGAACCAGCCAUCCCGCGUGAAGGAAGACAGCCUUACGGGUUGUAAACUUCUUUUCUGUCAGAAGAAUAAGCUUGUCGAGACGAGUGAUGCCGGUAUGACAGGAAUAAGCAUCGGCUAACUCCGUGCCAGCAGCCGCGGUAAUACGGAGGAUGCAAGCGUUAUCCGGAUUUAUUGGGUUUAAAGGGUGCGCAGGUUGUUUGAUAAGUCAGUGGUGAAAGUCUGUCGCUUAACGGUAGGAUUGCCAUUGAUACUGUUGGACUUGAAUAUGGAUGAGGUAGGCGGAAUGUGUAGUGUAGCGGUGAAAUGCAUAGAUAUUACACAGAACACCGAUUGCGAAGGCAGCUUACUAAUCCAUCAUUGACGCUGAGGCACGAAAGCGUGGGGAUCAAACAGG
rnacentral:rRNA from 1 species